GACGAAGGAUGCAAGCGUUAUCCGGAUUCAUUGGGUUUAAAGGGUGCGUAGGCGGUUUAUUAAGUCAGUGGUGAAAGCCGGUCGCUUAACGAUCGAAUUGCCAUUGAUACUGGUAGACUUGAGUACAGAUGCUGUGGGCGGAAUAUGACAUGUAGUGGUGAAAUACAUAGAGAUGUCAUAGAACACCGAUUGCGAAGGCAGCUCACAAAACUGUAACUGACGCUGAGGCACGAAAGUGUGGGGAUCAAACAGGAUUAGAUACCCUGGUAGUCCACACUGUAAACGAUGAUUACUCGCUGCUGGGGGGCAACCUCCAGUGGCUUAGUGAAAACGAUAAGUAAUCCACCUGGGGAGUACGCCGGCAACGGUGAA
rnacentral:rRNA from 1 species